GACGAACGCUGGCGGCGUGCUUAACACAUGCAAGUCGAACGGUGAAGCGCCUUCCUUUUUGGUGGGUGUGGAUGAGUGGCGAACGGGUUAGUAACACGUGAGUAACCUGCCCCCUUCUUCUGGAUAACCGCAUGAAAGUGUGGCUAAUACGGGAUAUUCUGGUUCUGUGGCAUGAUGGGUCUGGGAAGGAUAUUGUUUCGGUGGGGGAUGGGCUCGCGGCCUAUCAGCUUGUUGGGGGGGUGAUGGCCUACCAAGGCGGUGACGGGUAGCCGGCCUGGGAGGGUGGACGGUCACACUGGGACUGAGACACGGCCUAGACUCCUACGAGAGGCAGCAGUGGGGAAUAGGGCACAAUGGGCGAAAGCCUGAUGCAGCGACGCCGCGUGAGGGAUGGAGGCCUUCGGGUUGUGAACCUCUUUCGCCAGUGAAGCAGGCCUGCCUCGUUUGUGGGUGGGUUGACGGUAGCUGGAUAAGAAGCGCCGGCUAACUACGUG
rnacentral:rRNA from 1 species